rnacentral:rRNA from 1 species
UACGUAGGGAGCAAGCGUUAUCCGGAUUUAUUGGGUGUAAAGGGUGCGUAGACGGAGAAGCAAGUUAGUUGUGAAAUCCCUCGGCUUAACUGAGGAACUGCAACUAAAACUACUUCCCUUGAGUACUGGAGAGGAAAGUGGAAUUCCUAGUGUAGCGGUGAAAUGCGUAGAUAUUAGGAGGAACACCAGUGGCGAAGGCGACUUUCUGGACAGUAACUGACGCUGAGGCACGAAAGUGUGGGGAGCAAACAGG